CCCUAUUAUUUUAGAGUGUUAAGUUUUGUGCCGGAGUAGUAUUAGUUAUGUUCUUGAAACUUAAAGAAUUUGGCGGUAUCUCAUUCCGUCCAGAGGAAUCUGUCUCGUUAUCGAUAGUCCACGUUGGACCUUACUUGGUUGAAUUUGGUUUGUAUACCGCCGUUUAUUGAUUAUCUUUUUAGAGUUUAUGUUAAUUUUCUGGUUUCUUUAUUUUGAUAUAUUUCAGGUCAAGGUGCAGCUUGUUUCUAAGUGGAAUGAUGGAUUACAUUGUUAUUUGUGUUUUGGAUUGUUGAUUUUAAUAUUGGCAUGAAAUUGGAUUUGGUUGUAAUAAUUUGUAGAUUGUUAUUAUGAUAAUUGGUUCUGAGAUAUGUACACAUCGCCCGUCGCUCUCGUUUGUUUAUUAUAAUGAGAUAAGUC
rnacentral:rRNA from 1 species